UGAGGGCUUAAGAGGUUCUGGGAGGGUGCCAAGGAGAGGUGUCUUUUGGGAAGGUCCUCUGCAUCUCCCCAUGAUGGUGUGUUGCCUGCUCCUUGCCACAGUCCUGGUCUCCAUUGGUCUCAGCACCCAGCAACUACAGUCCCUGAAACCCUCAGAGGCUGUUCCUCUAGGUGGGACCAUCAGCAUGUCUUGCACAUUUGAUAGCGGAAGCAUUGCUGAUAACAACUACCCUCUCUGGAUCCAGCACAAAUUGGGCAAAGCGCCGUGGCUGUUGCUUUACCACACCAGCAAAAGAGCAUCCGGUGUCCCGGACCGUUUCUCGGGGUCUAGGUCAGGGAAUACGAUGUCUUUGGCCAUCACUGGGGCCUUGCAGGAAGAUGAAACUGAUUAUUUCUGUUCCGUAUGGACAGGGACUCAGCAGCACAGACGUUCAUUCAAAUGGGGAAGCGAGAAUAAACUGUUUUUUGCCGUUUUUCUUUCUGGCCUCCCUUCCUUUUCAUUUGUAGAUGCUAAACUGAUGGUAUAAUAGUGUCCAUGGACCACUCAAUGAGCUUGCUUGAAUAGCUAAAAGAGGCUCCUGGGAGGCCGAAGGGACAUUGCUGGAACAACACUCGGGU